rnacentral:rRNA from 1 species
AACGAACGCUGGCGGCAUGCCUAACACAUGCAAGUCGAACGAGACCUUCGGGUCUAGUGGCGCACGGGUGCGUAACGCGUGGGAAUCUGCCCUUGGGUUCGGAAUAACAGUUAGAAAUGACUGCUAAUACCGGAUGAUGACGUAAGUCCAAAGAUUUAUCGCCCAAGGAUGAGCCCGCGUAGGAUUAGCUUGUUGGUGAGGUAAAGGCUCACCAAGGCGACGAUCCUUAGCUGGUCUGAGAGGAUGAUCAGCCACACUGGGACUGAGACACGGCCCAGACUCCUACGGGAGGCAGCAGUGGGGAAUAUUGGACAAUGGGCGAAAGCCUGAUCCAGCAAUGCCGCGUGAGUGAUGAAGGCCCUAGGGUUGUAAAGCUCUUUUACCCGGGAUGAUAAUGACAGUACCGGGAGAAUAAGCCCCGGCUAACUCCGUGCCAGCAGCCGCGGUU